ACUGAUGAUAUCUGGGCAGAAGCUCUUAGAGAACCCCUUAAACUCUGUAUCUCUUGGAUGCGUCCUUGAGUGGUGAGUCUUUUAUUUUCUAGUUCUGUAUCCUCGUUUAAUUUCCGUUGGGUGGUGAACUUUCUGUAUCCCAUUGCGAUUUUAAACUUGGUGGUGAGCUAUAUUUCGUUUUACCGAAGUUUCUUCAAGAGUUCGUUCAUUGCCUUCUGUGAUAUUUUCUAUCUGUACAACUGUUAUAUCGGUUUUCUAUCGACAUCCAUUCUGCAUUUUUCCCUCCCCGGUAUCA
rnacentral:lncRNA from 1 species